rnacentral:RNase_P_RNA from 1 species
ACUGCGAGCUGUGCUAUUGUCUCUCCGUUUCAGGCGGAGGGAAGGAAAGUCCGGACAGCAAAGAGCAACGUACCGGUGAACAGCCGGCUUCCUGCUAUCUUGUAUCACUCUGAGCCCGACGAAGAGUUGGUGAAGGAGCAGGAACGAGACAGUGCCACAGAAAAUUACCGCUGCCUUUUUGUGUCGGUACAAAAAAGCAGCAAGGGUGAAAAUGUGGGGUAAGAGCCUACAGUACAUUAUGGUAACAUAAUGUGCGGGUAAACCUUACGUGCUGAAAUGUCAUGUAUAGGAUGGUUAAGGGCUGCUCGUCCGAGCGUUCCUACAAGGAACCACCGUCCAGGGUAGACAGAUAGAGGUGACUGGUAACAGUCAUCCCAGAUAAAUAAUAGCAUUUCGGUAAGCUCAAAACGGGCUAACGAAAACAGAAUCCGGCUUACAGGCUUGCAGUUUUU